CUGUUGCCUUAAGUGACUGACCACACCACCACCCUUUAGGCUUAGUGUGUAAGAAGGUGAAUUUGGCCAGGCGCAGUGGCUCACGCUUGUAAUCCCAGCACUUUGGGCAGCCAAGGCGGGUGGAUCACGAGGUCAGGAGAUUGAGUGUUCUACAUAGAAAGAUUGAGAUGAUUUUAAAUUGUAAUAUGUCGGUAAAAAGUGUGCAUUUUUGUCUCCGUGGUAAAUGGUUUCCUUGUGCCUUAAUAGUAGAGCUAGUAAUCAGAUUGUUUAAAAGUACAGCCAUUAGGCCAGGCGUGGUGGCUCGUGCCU
rnacentral:lncRNA from 1 species